GGUGGGGGUUGGAAAGAUUUUUUGGUCUGGGAUGGGCUCGCGGCCUAUCAGCUUGUUGGUGAGGUAAUGGCUCACCAAGGCGUCGACGGGUAGCCGGCCUGAGAGGGUGACCGGCCACGCUGGGACUGAGACACGGCCCAGACUCCUACGGGAGGCAGCGGUGGGGAAUAUUGCACAAUGGGCGGAAGCCUGAUGCAACAACGCCGCGGUGAGGGAUGACGGCCUUCGGGUUGUAAACCUCUUUUAGCAAGGAAGAAGCGAAAGUGACGGUUCCUGCAUAAAAAGCGCCUGCUAACUACUUGCCAGCAGCCGCGGUAAUACGA
rnacentral:rRNA from 1 species